UGAGGCAGCCAGCGCAGGGGCUUCUGCUGAGGGCGCAGGCGGAGCUUGAGGAAACCGCAGAUAAGUUUUUUUCACUUUGAAAGAUAGAGAUUAAUACAACUACUUAAAAAAUAUAGUCAAUAGGUUACUAAGAUAUUGCUUAGCGUUAAGCUUUUAACGUAAUUUUAAUAGCUUAAGAUUUUAAGAGAAAAUAUGAAGACUUAGAAGAGUAGCAUGACGAAGGAAAAGAUAAAAGAUUUCUAAAACAUGACGGAGGUUGAGAUGAAGCUUCUUCAUGGAGUAAAAAAUGUAUUUAAAAGAAAAUUGAGAGAAAGGACUACAGAGCCCUGAAUUAAUACCAAUAGAAGGGCAAUGCUUUUAGAUUAAAAUGAAGGUGACUUAAACAGCUUAAAGUUUACUUUAAAAGUUGUAGGUGAUUAAAAUAAUUUGAAGGCGAUCUUUUAAAAAGAGAUUAAACCGAAGGUGAUUAAAAGACCUUGAAAUCCAUGACGCAGGGAGAAUUGCGUCAUUUAAAGCCUAGUUAACGCAUUUAAACGCAGACGAAAAUGGAAAGAUUAGUUGGGAGUGGUAGGAUGAAACGAUUUGGAGAAGAUAGAAGUUUGAAGUGGAAAACUGGAAGACAGAAGUACAGGAAGGCGGAGAAAAGAAUAGAGAAGAUAGGGAAAUUAGAAGAUAAAAACAUACUUUUAGAAGAAAAAAGAUAAAUUUAAACCUGAAAAGUAGGAAGCAGAAGAAAAAAGACAAGCUAGGAAACAAAAAACUAAGGGCAAAAUGUACAAACUUAGAAGAAAAUUGGAAGAUAGAAACAAGAUAGAAAAUGAAAAUAUUGUCAAGAGUUUCAGAUAGAAAAUGAAAAACAAGCUAAGACAAGUAUUGGAGAAGUAUAGAAGAUAGAAAAAUAUAAAGCCAAAAAUUGGAUAAAAUAGCACUGAAAAAGUGAGGAAAUUAUUGGUAACCAAUUUAUUUUAAAAGCCCAUCAAUUUAAUUUCUGGUGGUGCAGAAGUUAGAAGGUAAAGCUUGAGAAGAUGAGGGUGUUUACGUAGACCAGAACCAAUUUAGAAGAAUACUUGAAGCUAGAAGGGGAAGUUGGUUAAAAAUCACAUCAAAAAAGGACUGGUGUAAUUUAAAAAAAAACUAAGGCAGAAGGCUUUUGGAAGAGUUAGAAGAAUUUGGAAGGCCUUAAAUAUAGUAGCUUAGUUUGAAAAAUGUGAAGGACUUUCGUAACGGAAGUAAUUCAAGAUCAAGAGUAAUUACCAACUUAAUGUUUUUGCAUUGGACUUUGAGUUAAGAUUAUUUUUUAAAUCCUGAGGACUAGCAUUAAUUGACAGCUGACCCAGGUGCUACACAGAAGUGGAUUCAGUGAAUCUAGGAAGACAGCAGCAGACAGGAUUCCGGGAACCAGUGUUUGAUGAAGCUAGGACUGAGGAGCAAGCGAGCAAGCAGCAGUUCGUGGUGAAGAUAGGAAAAGAGUCCAGGAGCCAGUGCGAUUUGGUGAAGGAAGCUAGGAAGAAGGAAGGAGCGCUAACGAUUUGGUGGUGAAGCUAGGAAAAAGGAUUCCAGAAAGGAGCGAGUGCGAUUUGGUGAUGAAGCUAGCAGGCGGCUUGGCUUGGCAACCACACGGAGGAGGCGAGCAGGCGUUGUGCGUAGAUAGAGGAUCCUAGACCAGCAUGCCAGUGUGCCAAGGCCACAGGGAAAACGAGUGGUUGGUAAAAAUCCGUGAGGUCGGCAAUAUGUUGUUUUUCUGGAACUUAUGGUAACCUUUUAUUUAUUUUCUAAUAUAAUGGGGGAGUUUCGUACUGAGGUGUAAAGGGAUUUAUAUGGGGAACGUAGGCCGAUUUCCGGGUGUUGUAGGUUUCUCUUUUUCAGGCUUAUACUCAUGAAUCUUGUCUGAAGCUUUUGAGGGCAGACUGCCAAGUCCUGGAGAAAUAGUAGAUGGCAAGUUUGUGGGUUUUUUUUUUUUUUUUUUUUUUUUUUACGAAUUUGAGGAAAACCAAAUGAAUUUGAUAGCCAAAUUGAGACAAUUUCAGCAAAUCUGUAAGCAGUUUGUAUGUUUAGUUGGGGUAAAUGAAGUAUUUCAGUUUUGUGAAUAGAUGACCUGUUUUUACUUCCUCACCCUGAAUUCGUUUUGUAAAUGUAGAGUUUGGAUGUGUAACUGAGGCGGGGGGGAGUUUUCAGUAUUUUUUUUUUGUGGGGGUGGGGGCAAAAUAUGUUUUCAGUUCUUUUUCCCUUAGGUCUGUCUAGAAUCCUAAAGGCAAAUGACUCAAGGUGUAACAGAAAACAAGAAAAUCCAAUAUCAGGAUAAUCAGACCACCACAGGUUUACAGUUUAUAGAAACUAGAGCAGUUCUCACGUUGAGGUCUGUGGAAGAGAUGUCCAUUGGAGAAAUGGCUGGUAGUUACUCUUUUUUCCCCCCACCCCCUUAAUCAGACUUUAAAAGUGCUUAACCCCUUAAACUUGUUAUUUUUUACUUGAAGCAUUUUGGGAUGGUCUUAACAGGGAAGAGAGAGGGUGGGGGAGAAAAUGUUUUUUUCUAAGAUUUUCCACAGAUGCUAUAGUACUAUUGACAAACUGGGUUAGAGAAGGAGUGUACCGCUGUGCUGUUGGCACGAACACCUUCAGGGACUGGAGCUGCUUUUAUCCUUGGAAGAGUAUUUCCAGUUGAAGCUGAAAAGUACAGCACAGUGCAGCUUUGGUUCAUAUUCAGUCAUCUCAGGAGAACUUCAGAAGAGCUUGAGUAGGCCAAAUGUUGAAGUUAAGUUUUCCAAUAAUGUGACUUCUUAAAAGUUUUAUUAAAGGGGAGGGGCAAAUAUUGGCAAUUAGUUGGCAGUGGCCUGUUACGGUUGGGAUUGGUGGGGUGGGUUUAGGUAAUUGUUUAGUUUAUGAUUGCAGAUAAACUCAUGCCAGAGAACUUAAAGUCUUAGAAUGGAAAAAGUAAAGAAAUAUCAACUUCCAAGUUGAUAACAUCUUCUGAGUCAUAACCAGCCUGGCAGUAUGAUGGCCUAGAUGCAGAGAAAACAGCUCCUUGGUAUCUCUUCGUUAUCAGAAGAGUUGCUUCAUUUCAUCUGGGAGCAGAAAACAGCAGGCAGCUGUUAACAGAUAAGUUUAACUUGCAUCUGCAGUAUUGCAUGUUAGGGAUAAGUGCUUAUUUUUAAGAGGUGUGGAGUUCUUAAAUAUCAACCAUGGCACUUUCUCCUGACCCCUUCCCUAGGGGAUUUCAGGAUUGAGAAAUUUUUCCAUCGAGCCUCUUUAAAAUUGUAGGACUUGUUCCUGUGGGCUUCAAUGAUGGGAUAGUACACUUCACUCAGAGGCAUUUGCAUCUUUAAAUAAUUUCUUAAAAGCCUCUAAAGUGAUCAGUGCCUUGAUGCCAACUAAGGAAAUUUGUUUAGCAUUGAAUCUCUGAAGGCUCUAUGAAAGGAAUAGCAUGAUGUGCUGUUAGAAUCAGAUGUUAUUGCUAAAAUUUACAUGUUGUGUUGUGAUGUAAAUUGUGUAGAAAACCAUUAAAUCAUUCAAAAUAAUAAACUAUUUUUAUUAGAGAAUGUAUACUUUUAGAAAGCUGUCUCCUUAUUUAAAUACAAUACUGUUUGUCUGUAGUUUAGUGUUGGGGCAAUCUUGGGGGGGAUUCUUCUCUAAUCUUUCAGAAACUUUGUCUGCGAACACUCUUUAAUGGACCAGAUCAGGAUUUGAGCGGAAGAACGAAUGUAACUUUAAGAGGCAUUUCAUCCUUCAUGAAGCUGUUCAGGAUUUUGAAUUGCAUAUGAGUGCUUGGCUCUUCCUUCUGUUCUCCUAACUUCACAGAGAAUGCAGUUGUCUUGACUUCAGAUGCAACCUUAAAAUCAGUGACAAGAAACAAAUUCCAAACAAGCAACAGUCUUCAAGAAAUUAAACUGGCAAGUGGAAAUGUUUAAACAGUUCAGUGAUCUUUAGUGCAUUGUUUUUGUGUGGGUUUCUCUCUCCCCUCCCUUGGUCUUAAUUCUUACAUGCAGGAACACUCAGCAGACACACGUAUGCGAAGGGCCAGAGAAGCCAGACCCAGUAAGAAAAAAUAGCCUAUUUACUUUAAAUAAACCAAACAUUCCAUUUUAAAUGUGGGGAUUGGGAACCACUAGUUCUUUCAGAUGGUAUUCUUCAGACUAUAGAAGGAGCUUCCAGUUGAAUUCACCAGUGGACAAAAUGAGGAAAACAGGUGAACAAGCUUUUUCUGUAUUUACAUACAAAGUCAGAUCAGUUAUGGGACAAUAGUAUGA
rnacentral:lncRNA from 1 species